GGCCGUAUGGAAUAUAGCCAAGUGGUAAGGCAUCGGUUUUUGGUACCGGAAUGCAAAGGUUCGAAUCACAUUACAGCCC